GGCCAGACUCCUACGGGAGGCAGCAGUGGGGAAUAUUGCACAAUGGGGGAAACCCUGAUGCAGCGACGCCGCGUGAGUGAAGAAGUAUUUCGGUAUGUAAAGCUCUAUCAGCAGGGAAGAAAAUGACGGUACCUGACUAAGAAGCCCCGGCUAACUACGUGCCAGCAGCCGCGGUAAUACGUAGGGGGCAAGCGUUAUCCGGAUUUACUGGGUGUAAAGGGAGCGUAGACGGCAUGGCAAGUCAGAUGUGAAAGCCCGGGGCUCAACCCCGGGACUGCAUUUGAAACUGUCAGGCUGGAGUGCAGGAGAGGUAAGUGGAAUUCCUAGUGUAGCGGUGAAAUGCGUAGAUAUUAGGAGGAACACCAGUGGCGAAGGCGGCUUACUGGACUGUAACUGACGUUGAGGCUCGAAAGCGUGGGGAGCAAACAGGAUUAGAUACCCGAGUAGU
rnacentral:rRNA from 1 species